UACGUAGGGUGCAAGCGUUGUCCGGAUUUAUUGGGCGUAAAGCGCGUGUAGGCGGCUUGGCAAGUCCGCUGUGAAAACUCGAGGCUCAACCUCGAGAUGUCGGUGGAAACUGCCUGGCUAGAGUCCGGAAGAGGAGUGUGGAAUUCCUGGUGUAGCGGUGAAAUGCGCAGAUAUCAGGAAGAACACCUAUGGCGAAGGCAGCACUCUGGGACGGUACUGACGCUGAGACGCGAAAGCGUGGGGAGCGAACAGG
rnacentral:rRNA from 1 species